GGGAAACUUGCCUGCUCCGGGCAGACCGAUCGAGCUCGACAACAGCCAGUUCAACGCGUGCCAACCCUCUUUCGAGAUACUGUCUUCUGUCGUGACGAGUAAACUGCCGCGUCGGUUUAUCCUUGUUUUCCCAUUCGCCGACUCGAAUUCCACACUCGUGACGCGGAAUUCGAAAGGGAUGAAUUUCCUUUUCGAAUCGCGAUAAAUAAAAGUGUGUUUAGAAUAUAAUAUUAAUAAUAAUAAUACUAAUACUAAUAAUAAUAAUAACAACAAGAACAACAACGUGACGUAUGAAGUGAUCAGUGGAGUUUCGUUGCCAAGUUUGAUAUGAUAUAUAUAGGCAGUUUGAUGAGAGCGUGGUUAUCGUGGUCAGCUAGGACGGGGAGGCUGUGUAGAGAGGAGGAAGAGUUCAUACGCGGUGGAUGGCUCAUUGAGCUGAAGAUCGUUCAAAGUUGCUUGGUUCGUAUAAUUAUAUCUGUCAUGUACCUUCAAAGUGCUGUGGAAGGAUAUACGGUUUAGGGAGAAUGAACUUUUUACGGGGUAGCUGCGCGAUUAGGUUUAUUUGGGACGCAUAUAACCGGAAUCACGUGGCCGAGUGACGGGUGUAAUGGUCGACUAACGACUCGCGAUCUUUUGAAGUUUAGAUUCGAUGGUGAACGUUCGGCUGUAAAUGUUCAUCGAGUACACCAUCACCGUAUCUUUGACGUGGGCUUCUAUUUCCGUUCGUCUUGUAACCGCGUUGUUAGGCCCGUCUUCCACUGUCCCCUUAAAUUUACGACGGCGGAGAGACACGUACGCAACACGUACGCACACCCGGAAAGGGCGUACUUAGUCAACGCGGCAACGACUUUUAAAGGGAAUAGAACGAAUUGCACCACCGAUCGGGGAACGUCCCGACGAAACGAUUACGAGUGUGUAAAUAUGUUUCCACUCCCUUCGAAGCCAGUUUACUUUCUCGUCAGAGCGAAACUAACGACGCGCCGUUAUCGUCGUACAGUUGAAAGUGGCCGUGUGUACCUUGGCAGCGAGAAGUGAUAACCGCGUUGUUAGCUGCGAAAUAAGCCCCGUGACAAACACACGCGGCCUCAACGAUAGCGUGAUAUAAUAACGAUAAGGGAACGUUCCUCCGAAAAAGAUCAACGAGGUUCCACUCUACGCGGUAUAUACGAUAGUUUCCACGAUAACCUUGAUAAACUGACCCCACGAUAGUCGGCCACGAUAAGGGGAGAACCAACGUUUCGAUAUCUUCAAACACAUCAAUUCCAAACUCCACUUCAUCCAGUUCUCUCCUCGCGUUCUUCAUUUUAUCGAAAUUUUCCCACUAGCAAAGUGAACGAACGCUCCUUUCGAAAGGCCAACGAUAUAUAAAUCUCUCUUAGAAUCUGAAAAUCUGAUCCAACACGUCUAACAACAAUCUUUCAAUAAUUACAUAUAUCGUUACACGUACUCGUUCCACGAAGAAAAAGAAGAAAAAAAAAGAAAAAGAAAAGGGAAAAAAAAAAAAUAUCACACCGCUUUUCCUCGCGUCACCAGCAUAAUAUAAUCGCGGCGUGGAGAGCGCGUGACGCGUGCUGGCUACAUCGCCAAGUCCUUCUGCCCCCCACCACCGCGCGCUAUUUCUCGCGCACGUCCCCCCUCCACCGACGAUAUUUCACCACCCCUACCAGGAACUCCGGUACGCGGACAGCGGCGACAAGGACGCGGCGAUCGGCGUACGCACGAGGCCGAGUGUAACGGAGCACGUGGGCCGCCGGUGGGGGUGGAGGAGGAGCGAUAAGACUGGAGGGGAAGCGUGGCGGAGGCACGGCGAGAGGGGAAGUCACCACUCCCCUUCCACCAACCAGCGGAGCGCGUUCUCUCCCACGUAACGGCGCUAACCGACGGGACCUUUGUUGCCCGCCACGCUCGAACGAGUGUCCCGCUCGAGAGUUUGGACGCUGGUGCCGCCCAGCGGUGAUCGCGGGAACUUUCGCCUCUCGGUGGUGGGGGCGAGGCGGCAGGUGGUGGGGGAAUCGCGGCGCGGUGGUGGGGGUAGAGCGUAGAGGGACGAGCGGUGGGGAUGAAUGCAGAGAACGGAGCGAGUACGAGGACGGGGGCAUGCUGCUCUCAGGACGCGCAGAACGUCAGAGUGGGUCGAGAAGGACGGGUGUAUCUCUCGUUCUCGCUCUCUCUUUCCCUCUUUCUCUCUCUCUCGCUCUUUCUCUCUCUGUCUCUCUCUCUCUCUCUCUCUCUCUACUCGGCUCUCUUUCUUUCUUCGUUUCUUUCGAUCAUUCGUCCCUCUCGCUCGCUCCUCGUGGAGAGGCAGAGAAAGAGAGGCCCGAUGGCGGGGUGAGAGCCGGCUUACUACGCGGCGAAACGCUACCACGGCGUUCAGUCGUCAGCGAUCAGACCGCCGGGCAGUGUGAACCUUCCUGGGCAGUCUCUUCAUCUAACCACUCUUCCUCUGCUGUCGUCCCUUCACGGACACGAAGCAGCGAUCGGCAUCUGGGAAAAGUUGGAGUACAGUUUCUGGAGAUGGAUUUGUCUGAUGAUCCCCUGAUAGAUCAUCGCGGCCUCGGUGGAAGGAUUGAGGAACAAGCUUCCAAGGAGCGGAAAGGAGAGGAAGAGGAAUUCACGAGAGAGAGAGAGAGGAAAGGAAUCGAGUGAAUUUACAGGAGAGAGAGAGAGAUAGAGAUAGAUAGAGAUAAUACUCGCUGUAGGAUAAUUGCGAAAAAAACGAUUUCGAAGGAAGAUCUCGCGUUCGAACCUUCGGCUAAAAGGUUUCGCCGCAACUGUUCUGUGACAGAACCGAGGGCCUUCAAGGACGCUCGAUAACCAGAAUCCAGGCUAACAGAUGUUGGAAAAGAUCUUAGCCUGCGAGCCGAUUGCCGCGGUUCAAACUAGCUGGGACGAUCGUCGCGGGAGCAUCGAAAAAUCUCAGAGAAUUCCAGAAAUCGUUGGAUAUCUAGAAGUUGGUUUAACGACACCCGAAGAAUACGAACUUCGCUCGCUCGUCGAAACUCGAAGAUUUCAGGAUUCUGGGAAGGAGAAGGAGAAUCGAGCUCUUCGAAUUUUUCCUUCCUCGUCCGAAAUUUCGAACGAUAUUCGAACAGUGAAUAACACGCAACAAAUUGUAUGGUCAUAGUGAGGAUCUCGUUCGUUUGUGCGCUCGUUCGGGCUUGCGUCGAGCCACGUGGUGCUCCGAAUCGCGCGAACGAAUCUGCGCUUCGUAAUUCUCGCGCGUACACGCAGUCUUCCCUCUUUGCGAAACCGCGUCUCGAGAAGGUGAAAACGAAGCGAGAGAAUCCCGGUGAAUCGAAAGUAAUCAAUAAUUUUUCUUCGUCGCAUUGCCGAGCUAUGUGGUGCCGUUCGAUUCGUAUUUAUGCGAAACGAAGAAGAAACGAGAAAACUGUUCUUUGCCUCGACGCGAGCCGAAGAUGUUGGAGAUUUCUGAAGACUCUGGAGAUAGUGAGACAGUGUGAACGGAUCGACGAUGGAUCCGGAAGAAAAUGAAAAUAACAAUAAAAAAAAAAGAAAAAAGAAAAUGAAAAAUCGAAUAAUAAUAAAUGGUGGUGGUUAAAUUUUAAAUAUUCGAAUAUUAAAAAAAAAAAAAAAAAAGAAAGGUAUAUUAAUUGGGGGAAAAGUGGGAGGAAUAUAGCUGCACGUCGAUUUUAUUCUUGAUUAAUGGCACGAUUGAAGGGAAUGACGAAGAGAACGUUACGCUUUACGGACGUGUUAGCAGCCGACGGCUCUUUGCCAACGAGAUCGUCACGAAUCAACGAUGAACAAGUGAGAGGUGUGUUCUACGCUACGGUUGGAAGUGUGCAUGUUGCUUAUAGUGGCGGUAUUAUUCGGUAAGGAAUAAUAAGGAAAAUGGAGGAAAGAAUUUGGAAGUGUGUCGGAAUUUCGAGUGCAAGGGGGCGAAAAUCAGCGAAGAUGGAAUUGGUAACGAAUAUUUUUUAAAACAAGAGGGAAAAAAGUCUCUCUGGUCACAGCGAGAUCUUCGUUCGUUUCCUUUGAUGAUAAUAACGAAACGAUAAUCGGACCCUGUAUUUAACCUUUUUUUUUUUUUUUUUCUUAUAUCGGAUUCGAUAGAAUUCUCCCCGGGAGAAGAUGCGUAAAGGAUAUUAUUAUAAAUUAAUCUAAUGAUAGGGAUUACAGUAGAAACUUUACAAAAUACCUGGGUAUCUUCGAACCUUUUCCUUGUUAAAAAGUUUCCCCAUAAAUUUGUCACUGUCACAGAAAUGAUAUACGCCCCGCCAGCUUCGAAACCUCGUCGAAUUAUCUCGUUCCACUUAUCAGGGAAUAUUUCCAAACAAACGGCCACGCCCCCACGCUUCUAAAAAAAAAAAAUCUUCCCUUUGAACAAACUGGCCGAAACGGGAUAUACUCGAAACUCGUCGAGGAAAAAUUUACAACGCGUUAUAAAAAUCUUUUCGAAAAACUCUCUUUUCGAGAUCAUCAUCCUCCAUGAAAUAAAAAUAUUACACGUAUUUACAUUCUCACCUAGCCAUAUAUCAUUACAAUUACACUCAUACAUAAAAAACAUCUCUAACGAGUUUCCCAGAUUCCAUUAAGAUUUUCAAAACACAGCUAAAUAACUAAAUAACCAUUGUCGAUCGAUCUUUCAUUCCAAAAUCUCAUAAGUCGAGUUUUAGAUUUUCAAUCUAAAAUAUAAUAAAUUAGAAAGCAGAGAAACGUCACUAUUCUACUUCUUCAAUCGAAAGAACGAUCGACAUGAACGAAAGAAAAGAAGAGAGAGAGAGAUGGAAAGGAAAGGGAAGACGUUUUCGCGCAGGGAGGGGUGGUUGGGAGGGCCCGUUGCGUCAUCAAGGUUGGCGAGGCGCCGAAGAAUCCGGCAAGAUACGGUCCUGCCCUCGCCGGCCAGAUAGGGUAUAAUCAUGGCGAGUUUCGUAUCUCGAAGGGGCACACACAGCGAAGAUGGUCCAACAUCUGCCGCUGCAGGGAAUCUCUGCCCACAUGCUGGCCCUAGUGCGCGUACGUACGCACGCACACCGGCAAAAAGUGACAUAGCUACACGCCGGGACGUCAUGUAAAUUCAUUCGAAACACAUGGCAGGGCCGAGCCGGCGGUUCCUUCUCGUUUCUCCUCUCCGAAAGGGUUCCUUCUCCACCACCGAGCUGGAAUCCGGGGAGGGGGAAGGGGGAUGUUGGGUAUAAAAAAAAAGGAGAAGAAGAAGAAGGAGGAGAGAAAAACAGACGAUAACUUCGACUUUUAGACAAGGAGGAGGCCUUCCUUCACCUUCUUCCUUCUCGACCUCUGUACGGGGGGGACCACCUCGCUCGAAUCCUCCCCCCUCCCUCUUUUUAUUCAAUCGUCUCUUCGAUUCGAUCCUCGGAUUUUCGAGGUGUCCAAUGGAGUUGACAAUUUGCCACAACCGUUGUCGUGUUGGGGGAUUAAGAUCGGUUUGAGAAAUUUUAAAAGGAUUGGUUCAAGUGCAAUAGAAAGAGAAAUUUGAGAGUCAAUGGAGGGGAGGGUUGAAAGUUCGCUGGUUGGUGAUUAUUAGGUGAUACACGUCAAAUUGUUGAUGGAAAAAUAAGUAUAUUUGUGAAAAACUUCUUGACGAUAUGAAAAUUUUUAUAUAUUAUUUUAAUACAAUAUUACUAUAUUUAAGGACAAUUUGAUAAUAAUGAUAAGGGAAUGAAAAAACUGAUUUAUUAACUGAAAAUAUGAAUUAUGUGGAGCUUUAUUUGUUUCCAUUACAAUGAUCCUCGAUUAUAGAUAAAAUUUUUUUUAACAAAAAAAA